rnacentral:rRNA from 1 species
AAAUUGAAGAGUUUGAUCAUGGCUCAGAUUGAACGCUGGCGGCAGGCCUAACACAUGCAAGUCGAACGGUAACAGGAAGAAGCUUGCUUCUUUGCUGACGAGUGGCGGACGGGUGAGUAAUGUCUGGGAAACUGCCUGAUGGAGGGGGAUAACUACUGGAAACGGUAGCUAAUACCGCAUAAUGUCGCAAGACCAAAGAGGGGGACCUUCGGGCCUCUUGCCAUCGGAUGUGCCCAGAUGGGAUUAGCUAGUAGGUGGGGUAACGGCUCACCUAGGCGACGAUCCCUAGCUGGUCUGAGAGGAUGACCAGCCACACUGGAACUGAGACACGGUCCAGACUCCUACGGGAGGCAGCAGUGGGGAAUAUUGCACAAUGGGCGCAAGCCUGAUGCAGCCAUGCCGCGUGUAUGAAGAAGGCCUUCGGGUUGUAAAGUACUUUCAGCGGGGAGGAAGGGAGUAAAGUUAAUACCUUUGCUCAUUGACGUUACCCGCAGAAGAAGCACCGGCUAACUCCGUGCCAGCAGCCGCGGUAAUACGGAGGGUGCAAGCGUUAAUCGGAAUUACUGGGCGUAAAGCGCACGCAGGCGGUUUGUUAAGUCAGAUGUGAAAUCCCCGGGCUCAACCUGGGAACUGCAUCUGAUACUGGCAAGCUUGAGUCUCGUAGAGGGGGGUAGAAUUCCAGGUGUAGCGGUGAAAUGCGUAGAGAUCUGGAGGAAUACCGGUGGCGAAGGCGGCCCCCUGGACGAAGACUGACGCUCAGGUGCGAAAGCGUGGGGAGCAAACAGGAUUAGAUACCCUGGUAGUCCACGCCGUAAACGAUGUCGACUUGGAGGUUGUGCCCUUGAGGCGUGGCUUCCGGAGCUAACGCGUUAAGUCGACCGCCUGGGGAGUACGGCCGCAAGGUUAAAACUCAAAUGAAUUGACGGGGGCCCGCACAAGCGGUGGAGCAUGUGGUUUAAUUCGAUGCAACGCGAAGAACCUUACCUGGUCUUGACAUCCACGGAAGUUUUCAGAGAUGAGAAUGUGCCUUCGGGAACCGUGAGACAGGUGCUGCAUGGCUGUCGUCAGCUCGUGUUGUGAAAUGUUGGGUUAAGUCCCGCAACGAGCGCAACCCUUAUCCUUUGUUGCCAGCGGUCCGGCCGGGAACUCAAAGGAGACUGCCAGUGAUAAACUGGAGGAAGGUGGGGAUGACGUCAAGUCAUCAUGGCCCUUACGACCAGGGCUACACACGUGCUACAAUGGCGCAUACAAAGAGAAGCGACCUCGCGAGAGCAAGCGGACCUCAUAAAGUGCGUCGUAGUCCGGAUUGGAGUCUGCAACUCGACUCCAUGAAGUCGGAAUCGCUAGUAAUCGUGGAUCAGAAUGCCACGGUGAAUACGUUCCCGGGCCUUGUACACACCGCCCGUCACACCAUGGGAGUGGGUUGCAAAAGAAGUAGGUAGCUUAACCUUCGGGAGGGCGCUUACCACUUUGUGAUUCAUGACUGGGGUGAAGUCGUAACAAGGUAACCGUAGGGGAACCUGCGGUUGGAUCACCUCCUUACCUUAAAGAAGC